CCCGAAUAACCUGAACACUAUAUCGGGUAGCAGAUCUGAAAACCCGAAUUUAAUAUGGGUAAUUCGGGUAAAAGGCCACGAUACCCGAAUUACACGAAUAGCCCGAACUAAUUAGUUAGCCAAGUAAAACAUGACGCACACUUGCGCAAAGAAGGCCCAGCCCAAAAGGCUAUCGCUAGCCCUCACCCCCUGCAAGCAAACCUAGGUCGAGUGCGUCCUCAACUCCUCCAAAUCUGAGCGCCCCUUCCCAGUUCCUAGUCCCCACACCACGCCGGCACGCCCCCAUGGUGCCACCCCACCCCACGGCGCCACCCCACUAGCACCGGCGUACUGCGGCCCGUCGCCGGUCUGCAUCUGCUCCGCUGUGACAAGCAAGCCUGGAGGCUGCGUUCAGCGGGGCUACGGCACUAGGCCACUAGCCAUCAUCCAUCUCAUCUCAUCUUCCCCGACGGCACCUCCUCGAUGCAACACCACUUGCCCGCUGACCUGCAUGACGUGACUCACAACGACCGACGUUGCCCAUCUCAUUCCAUUGUUGCCCGUCCAAAUCGCUGCCUAUAGUCUUGCACCGCCGACGCCAGCCCCAAAUUGCAGUCCAUCUCAUUCCACUAUUGUUGGCACUUUUCUUCACUGUUUACUACUUCGGGUAGUACGGGUAUUACCUGAACCCGAACCUGAAUUUGCGGUAAACCCGAACGCCCAGCGUGAGUCUUGACAGGCUUGUGAGAAUAGGCUUGUUGAUGCGGAGCAUCCUUCCAUCAUCCCCAUGGAUUCUACACCAACACAUCAAGCCCCACAUGGACCUAUGACAAGAGCUCCAGCACGCGUAAUGGAAACCGAGGUGAACCCCUUCCUACUUGACUUGCACAUGAACUCGAAUGAGAUUAGGUUGCCGCCUCACCAAGAUACCCUAUGCAUCAUUAAGUACAAAGAGGGACCCUUCCAAGCAGCUGAGGAACACCACCAAGUGCAAGGAGAACCACCCGAAAGCCGCACGAAGAAGGAAGGAGCCAAACAGCAGCAGUACUGGAAGUCCCAGGCGACCCCGUGCACACGGUCCUCCGAGACCCCGUGCCCACGGGCUACACAGAGAGUUGGUGUUGUAGCACCCCGUGUGCACGGGUGUGUACCGUGCACACGGGACCCCUGUGCGCACGGGCCCAACUAACCUCGUGCGCACGGGCCCUACAGGAUGGCUGGCUGAUGCGGGUUGUUGGGCCUCCACUUCGCAUCCACUUCACCUCCUACCUACCCAAGCUUAUAUAAUUCGUACCUAGGGAUAUGUUUAGGGUUAGCAAAUACAUAGAUGAGAAUUUGAGAGCUUUGCUCCUUUUACCACCUCCAUUGGAGAUCAAGGCCUCUUAGGAGAGGAUCCACUUGUGGAUUUCAAGACCUCAUCUCUAAGGAGUGGGAAGAACUCUAUUAUUGUAUCUUUCCUUUGAUUGUGUUUGUGAACUUGUGGAUCUUGUGUUGCUAUUCUAGUGGAUGUGUAAUUGGGUAUUA